GACUCAGUGGAUUAUAUCUGUUCUUUCUGUGACAGAGGAUGUGCGGUCGCAGAGGCAGCAGUCUGAGCAGCACACCUCUUCCAGCUCUUCCGCGAGGAUUCCCUGGUGCUCCCAGACCAGCUGAGAGACAUGGUCCUUCCAGCGCGUCCUGGGUCUUCCUUGGGGCCUCCUCCCAGUGGGACAUGCCCAAAACACCUCCUCAGGGAGAUUUCUAGGAGGCAUCCAGAACAGAUGCCUCAGCUGCUACUCUGAAGAGCAGCAGUUCUACUCCGAGCUCCUCCUGUGUCACUGAGCUUCUCACGCUAUCUGUAAGGGAGUGCUCAGCCACCCUGCAAAGGAAACUAAUUUCAACCAAUUCUUGUCCUUUCAGCCAUUACCCAAACUUCAUAACCAUAGAUAUGACUGGACCUAAUUGGACGCUAUGUGUUUCACUUGGCUGGAGAGGAGCUGGAGGACACCAUUUGGCUGCAGUGUGGUGUGAAGAGAUCGAUGGAUGUAGGGAUGAUUAUGUCGUGAUUAUCCGCCCGAGAGGUCCUUGUAUGGCUUGAAGAAAGGUGAUUUGAAGGCACACCUCUUGGCUGCCUUGCGCUCUUCGGCGGGUGACGGUGAAGCAGAGCGGUCAGCCUCCUCUCUCAUCUCCACCUGCCUUAUGCUGCUCAGUCUCUCCAAAUCAACCCAUUAUUUGCUUCAUUUCCCCACAGCCUGACUCAGCUAGUGAGGAAAGUCAGCAGCUACACGGAGAAGUGUGUUUUACUUCUUCUGCCGGAAAAAUAUGCAAAAAUUCCCUUUGGUUUUAGAGUACUAACAGGGAUACUGUGGGAAGCAUUGUCUUUAGUCUGCCACCUGUUUAUGAGAUAUUACAACCUGGAGAAUUAAGCCGUUAGUGAUUUUGUAAUCUUAGAAUUUGGAAACUAUAGGCUUGUCACUAUAAUUACCGACUUAUCGUUCAAUAUAUGAAAGCUGGAACAAGAUUUUUUUGGAGUCAGUAUUUAUGGUGGGUACAUUUUCUUUGCAUUACUGAGGAUUUUUUGGGUUAUUUUUUGGUUAUGUAAGAUUACGGCCAUAAAAAGUUCAUUUAAUCACUUCUAUGGCUCAUUACAGAUGCAAAGUACUAUGUACUUACUAAGUUUUGCUAUUUAUUUAUUGCUGCCCAUGUUUUUUUUUUGGUUUUUUUUUUACAAUAUAUACAUUCAGACAAUUUUUUUAUGAUAAAAAUCUGCUCUUGGGUUUUUGUGUCAGUCACAUAAAUUAGUUAAUAAUUUCAAUAUUAUCUCUUUAUUGUCUCUAUUUACUUAAGCAAUAUAUCACAUUUUGCAAUGUGUUAUCGGUGG